AGAGGAACUUCAAGAAUGUGUUUCACACUGUGAAGUUGUGCUUCCAGAAAAUGUUGUUCCUUGUAUGAUAAUUUAUAAGGAUGUAAAAGUGAACUUUACAUUUAAAGCGAGUGAAAAAUGAAACUGAAGAAGGAGGUUUUGUGCUGACCUUAGACCAGACAUCUGCCAGAGGAGUCACCUAGUACAAGCUCCAACCCCAUGCACAUAGUUGAAAAUGCUUUGGAAAGAAAAGUGAUAAAUUGGUUCUGGGCCACUGGAUGAUUUUCCUCAUUGUGAUGAUCUGCUAGGUGUACUUUGCAUCAGCAGUGUUGUACAGGAUGUUGGGAUCUGGUCAGCCUCUUCAAGAGAGGAAAAACUUGUAUACCUGAAAAAAGCUUGUAAGAUUUUUCAACUAAUGGAGAAAUGUAAGCAAUUUCAACUAAUGGAGAAAUUUUAGGAUUUAGAUCUUCACCGGAAGUUCUUCUUUAUGCAUUGAUAUUUAGCAAAUAUGUGACAAAUAUUUGAGUUAAUACCCUGAUUUAUGUAAUUUCUACAGAAAUUAAUUUGAAAUAUCAGUUGCAAGAUUACUUACCCACCUGCUGUCUUACUGCUUGAGAAUAAUGUUUAUGUUCCCUUUGGUCAGAUUCUUCCCUCUCUGGAGAGAACAUGUUGUAACUUCCAGGCUGAUUAUCAAUUAAACUGGAACUAAAGAG